rnacentral:rRNA from 1 species
GAGUUUGAUCCUGGCUCAGACUGAACGCUGGCAGUAUGGAUAGGGCAUGCAAGUCGAACGAUCUUCUUUUCUGAUUUGAUAGCAAUAUUAAAGAGGUUAAGAAGAUAGUGGCAAAUGGGUUAGUAACACGUUGGAAAUCUACCUGGAAGUGGGGAAUAGCUUGCCGAAAGGCAAAUUAAUACCCCAUGGUCCCUACUGUCGAGAGACAGUACGGUAAAGAUUUAUCGCUUCCAGAAGAUCCUGCGUCCUAUCAGCUUGUUGGUGAGGUAACGGCUCACCAAGGCUAUGACGGGUAGGGGAUGUGAGAGCACGACCCCCAACACUGGAACUGCGACACGGUCCAGACACCUACGGGUGGCUGCAGUCGAGAAUCUUCGGCAAUGCACGGAAGUGUGACCGAGCGAUACUGCGUGCAGGAAGAAGGCCUUCGGGUUGUAAACUGCUGUCUAUGGGAAGAACUUUGACGGUACCAUACAAGAAAGGGGCGCCUAACUCUGUGCCAGCAGGCGCGGUAAUACAGAGGCCCCAAGCGUUAGUCGGAAUUAUUGGGCGUAAAGGGUCCGCAGGCGGAGUAGUGCGUCUUCUGUUAAAUCCUAUCGGCUCAACCGAGAGGCUGCAGUGGAUACGACUACUCUUGAAGCAAGGAGAGGUAAGCGGAAUUCCUAGUGGAGCGGUGAAAUGCGUUGAUAUUAGGGAGAACACCAAUUGCGAAGGCAGCUUACUGGCCUUGUCUUGACGCUCAGGGACGACAGCGUGGGGAGUGAACGGGAUUAGAUACCCCGGUAAUCCAUGCCGUAAACGAUGCAAACUAGGCAUUGGGAGUAUCGACUCUCUCAGUGUCGAAGCUAACGCGUUAAGUUUGCCGCCUGGGUAGUACGGUCGCAAGACUAAAACUCAAAGGAAUAGACGGGGGCCCGCACAAGCGGUGGAGCGUGUGGCUUAAUUCGAUGCUAAACGAGGAACCUUACCUAGGUUAGAAAUCCAACUGUAUAUCGCAAGAAAAGGCGAUAGCUUCGAGAUCGUUGGACAGGUGCUGCAUGGUUGCCGUCAGCUCGUGUUGUGAAAUGUUCCCUUCAGUGGGGUAACGAGCGCAACCCUUAUCGUGUGUUGAUUUUCACACGAGACUGCCGUGGUUAACACGGAGGAAGGUGGGGACGACGUCAAAUCAGCAUGGCCCUCUGACACCUAGGGCUGCACACGCGCUACAAUGGAUAGGACAAUGAGAUGCAACUACGCGAGUAGAAGGAAUCUUUUAAACCUAUCCUCAGUUCGGAUUGGAGUCUGCAAUUCGACUCCAUGAAGCUGGAAUCGCUAGUAACCGUAAAUCAGCUCGUUACGGUGAAUACGUUCUCGGGCUUUGUACUCACCGCCCGUCAACUCAGAAGAGUUGAUAGUACCCGAAG